rnacentral:rRNA from 1 species
GAUGAACGCUGGCGGCGUGCUUAACACAUGCAAGUCGAACGGGAAACCUUUUAAUGAAGCUUCGGCAGAUUUAGCUGGUUUCUAGUGGCGGACGGGUGAGUAACGCGUGGGUAACCUGCCUUAUACAGGGGGAUAACAGUCAGAAAUGACUGCUAAUACCGCAUAAGCGCACAGGACCGCAUGGUCCGGUGUGAAAAACUCCGGUGGUAUAAGAUGGACCCGCGUUGGAUUAGCUGGUUGGUGGGGUAACGGCUCACCAAGGCGACGAUCCAUAGCCGGCCUGAGAGGGUGAACGGCCACAUUGGGACUGAGACACGGCCCAGACUCCUACGGGAGGCAGCAGUGGGGAAUAUUGCACAAUGGGGGAAACCCUGAUGCAGCGACGCCGCGUGAAGGAAGAAGUAUCUCGGUAUGUAAACUUCUAUCAGCAGGGAAGAUAGUGACGGUACCUGACUAAGAAGCCCCGGCUAACUACGUG